UAUGGCCACAUCAUGUUAAAAUUCUGGUUCCUGUAUGAUCACUGAAGUUAAGCAAUGUUGAGCCAGAUCAGUAGCUAGAUGGGUGACUGCUUGGGAAUACCAGGUGCUGUAAG
rnacentral:rRNA from 1 species